rnacentral:miRNA from 1 species
AGAAGCUCGAUUCUACAGGUU